rnacentral:rRNA from 1 species
UGGGGAAUAUUGCACAAUGGGCGAAAGCCUGAUGCAGCAACGCCGCGUGCGGGAUGACGGCCUUCGGGUUGUAAACCGCUUUCAGCAGGGACGAAGGUUUUCUGACGGUACCUGCAGAAGAAGCACCGGCUAACUACGUGCCAGCAGCCGCGGUGAUACGUAGGGUGCGAGCGUUGUCCGGAAUUAUUGGGCGUAAAGAGCUUGUAGGCGGUCCGUUGCGUCGGAAGUGAAAACUCAGGGCUUAACCCUGAGCCUGCUUUCGAUACAGGCGGACUUGAGGGAUGUAGGGGAGAACGGAAUUCCUGGUGGAGCGGUGGAAUGCGCAGAUAUCAGGAGGAACACCAGCGGCGAAGGCGGUUCUCUGGACAUUUCCUGACGCUGAGAAGCGAAAGCGUGGGGAGCAAACAGGCCUUAGAUACCCUGGUAGUCCACGCCGUAAACGGUGGGCACUAGGUGUGGGACCCAUUCCACGGGUUCCGUGCCGUAGCUAACGCAUUAAGUG